UAAUAGAAGCGGGGCGAAUCGUCAUUGACCUGGGACGAAUCGUCCUGUACUGAUAAAAGGGAAGUAAUCACUGCGAGAAGUUUUAUCCCGAGUAAUCCAAUCACAUUUGUCUUAACAAAUACUCAUUAACCAAUGAAAGAUUUGAUAGCAUUUUGGCUCCAAAUUUGAAAACAACAACAACCAACUCUGCAGUGGAAGUCCACGAAAACGUGUCCUACGGGACGGUAUGGCAGCAGUUGCCCUACUUUCAUCUGAAAAUUCGAUUAGCUAACAGCAUUUACUGAUGCCUUUAAAUAGCUGCCGGUGUCCUUUGCAAGAUGAGUGUUGUAACUUGUAUCACAGUUUCUGUGACCAACCAGUUCUCAAACCUGUUUACUUAAAAGUACCAUUGUGGGACCAUGGUUUGUGGCAAAGACACCUUUAAUCAAGCAAGAACUUGCCUAAAAGUUGCAACAUUUUCAGACCAUUGACCAUAUUCAAAUUCAAACCAGAACUUUUUGUACUGUCCAUGAACUUGAAAGCAAAGUCAACCACAAGUGAAUGUCAUAGACAAAAAAAACAGAAAGAAACUUUAUUAUUCAAUAGCAGGCACCAUGACAGAUCUGUGUUGGAAACCAUACUGGAUUGAAAUGACAUUCAGAUUUGAUUUAAUAAACAAGGCAACAUAAAGUGAAAACAAGAAAGUUUUUAUUUACAUCUAUGCAACAAUGUCUAAUUGAAAAAGAAUGAAGAGAAAAAUUAUUACACAUGGGAAAACUAUUGUGUACAAUAUUUGCAGACAAGCAUAUUCCAUCCUAUGUAUUAUACAUUUGUAGUUUUUGUUGAUGUUUAGUACAAUAUUGUUAUUUAAAAGUAUUUUUUCAAAUGAAUAUUUGUCAGAUCACAAAAGUAAAUACAGAUAGCGGAAAAUUUAAAAACCGGAAACAGUCCUAGCUAUGAUACUUUGUAUUACAACGCCAUUUUCAUUUAAACUACAAAGAAAUUUCCCCUUUAUUGGUGUUCAAAGUGAAUCUUAAUUUUAAAAAAUGGCCAUAUGGCAGGUUAUUUUUCAGAAUUUGUGAAAACACUGCCUUGUGACAAAAACAUCUUAAGAAUACCCUAUGUGUUCCUAAAUUAAAUUUUCCGUCCAGGAUUGACUAUUCUUUCAUUAAUGCAAUUUGUUUACUUUGUUAAGAGUAUGUUUGUUGUGUGCUAAUGAGUUAGUUUAGAGAUUCUGAUUGUGUGGUUGAGUAUGCUUUAAAAUUGAAAUACAGUAUUAUGUGAUUGAACAUGCUUUACAAUUGAAAUACAAUAUAUAUGAAAGUAUGAGUAGAUCAAACUGAUAUGGUUCUUUGCCAAUUUAUACGGAUGAGAUGAAUAUUAGUGUUUGUUGUAAUAUAUCGGAUGAUUUGACUUCAAGGUUAAUUUUUGCAUACAAGUUUUAAAGUUCAUUGUAAAAGUUAAAUGAAACAGUAUUUUAUCGUGUUGUUUGUUUCUUUGUUGUUUUUAUUUUAAACUAAAUGUGGACAUGUAAAUAUUUAUUAAUGAAAAACAAAGUUCAUUUGAUUCUUCACAAAACUAAACAAUUUUAUAACCUGUUAGAUUGAUAAAGAAAUCAUUCUUUUUCAAUGUAAAUUUUCUUUUAAAUAUAUUGGAUGUAGGCAUUAUUGAAUUGUGUUUAAUAAAGUUGUAUGUUGUAUUGUUAAGAAUGUGCAGAUGUAAAUUUUUAUUGUAAUUGAAUGAUAAUAUGUUGUAAUAUAUAUGUUUUAUUUUGGAUAUUUGAUCUAACAUUGUCGGGAUACUUUUUAUAACUUACUACAUUUUGUAGCAUUAGAAAUGAUUAUGAUUUUAUAACCUCUGUAUAACCUCUGUAAACCUUUAAGCUCAAGUUUGUAAGACCUUUGUAUAUUAAGCUCUACAAAGCCUCAUGGACUCAAAUGUUUCCUGCUGUUUAAGCUUGAAAAUUAUGGUAGAACCAGUCUCCAUUAUAAUUUUAAUGUAAGUUACUGUGCAUGGGAGCCAACUUUAGGAAAGUGCAGAAAUUAACUUAAACUACUAAGUUUCUUCUGACAUCAAGGUUGUAAAACUUUUUUCCAAGUUCUGUCUCAAAACUCAGAAUUUUCAUUGCUUAAUAUGCAUUAUUUGUUUGUUUCUGAUCAAAAUAUCUUAAGUAUAUAAUCCAAAAUACUUUGUUAAAAUGUUGUUCAACGAAGUGGUCUAUCUAUAAAUAAAAACAAUAUAAUGUGGUUGAAUUCAGUAAUUGAGCAACAUUUUGUUGAAGUUGUAAAAAGUAUAUUGACAUGUUUAUCAUCAUUUUUCAACAGGACCUCUUCAAAAGGCAGCAAACCUGUACAGUGUUCUAUUUUUAGCAUUUUUAUGUGCAUGAAUGUCUAUAAUCAGUAGAAUUUUUGUUCAUUCUUUAGACUGGUCUGGUAAGUGGUCCCUAUUCAAUUUGUUCUAGAUCAAAUGUUCCCCAUUAGAUUUACUAGAAUACAUGUUCCCAACUGAAUUUGCUUGAACAAAUGUUCCCAAUUCAAAUAUCAGAAUAUCCAAUUUUUGCGACAAAAAUUAUAUAAAUUUCAUCAUUAAAAACAUUUUGACUGUUGUCAUAUUUAAUUUUUCCACAAUAAUUUCAUAGUGUGUAGUUUCAUCAGAAGCUUCCUACAUUGGUAUUUGGACCAGUGACUGACCAGAACCCAUUCCAAAACAAUGAUGAAAAAUCCUACUGCUUGUGUGUUUGUAUAUUUCUUUGUUAUGUUUGUCAACAUUUGAUAUCAUACUAAAGGGAGUUUAAGAGUUGUUAACUUGGUGUGAAGAGUUGUUAGCUUAGUGUGAAGAGUUGUUAACUUAGUGUGAAGAGUUGUUAACUUAGUUUGGAGAGUAUAAAGAGUUAAUAACUAAGAGUGAAGAGUUGUUAGCUUAGUGUGAAGAGUUGUUAACUUAGUGUGGAUAGUAUAAGAGUUGUUAACUUAGUAUAAAGAGUUGAUAUCUUAGUGUGAAGAGUUGUUAACUAAGUUUGAAGAGUAUAAAGAAUUGUUAACUUAGUGUGGAUAGUAUAGAGUUGUUAACUUAGUGUGAAGAGUUGUUAACUUAGUAUGAAGAGUUGUUAACUUAGUAUGAAGAGUUG